rnacentral:lncRNA from 1 species
AUUUUCUUAGUUAAAAAAAAACUUGUCCUUAAGCAUCUACGGUUUCAGCUGAAUCAGCAGCUGCUAAGACAAGCUCCGGGCUUAGGUCUCCGACAUACGAUCCAUCAAUAACAUUGGGCUGUCCCAAAGCUUUCAGAGCGAGGUGUGCCGCCUUCUGUCCCGAUAUCAUCAUAGCUCCGAACGUUGGUCCCUGCAUCACAUAUUCAUUCACUCAGCAUAUCAUCUUAUUAUAAAUGAUUGAUUCAAGGAAAGGGAAACAAACUCACCAUUCUUGGUGCACCAUCGAUCUCAGCAACUUCCAUACCGGUCACAAUCAUACCGGGUACAACCUCCCUAGUCAACCUCACAAUCGCAUCCUCAGCUGUGUUCAUGUCAAGAGCUUUCAUCCCGGGAACAUGGUCGAUCAACCCAAUGCUCUUCAACCUCUUCACACCGGUGGCUCCAAAGGGACCAUCGUGACCACACGAGCUGACAACAAUCUUGGCCUCCAUGACGUUAGGGUCCAUGCAAGACUGUGUGUCGUGGUUCAUCGACACAAGGGCCCAGUUAGUCACCACACCGCCGACUCU